rnacentral:rRNA from 1 species
AGAGUUUGAUCCUGGCUCAGAACGAACGCUGGCGGCAGGCCUAAUACAUGCAAGUCGAGCGCGCCCUUCGGGGUGAGCGGCGGACGGGUGAGUAACGCGUGGGAAUAUGCCCUUCUCUAAGGAAUAGCCUCUGGAAACGGAGAGUAAUACCUUAUACGCCCUUUGGGGGAAAGAUUUAUCGGAGAAGGAUUAGCCCGCGUUAGAUUAGGUAGUUGGUGGGGUAAUGGCCUACCAAGCCUACGAUCUAUAGCUGGUUUGAGAGGAUGAUCAGCCACACUGGGACUGAGACACGGCCCAGACUCCUACGGGAGGCAGCAGUAGGGAAUCUUAGACAAUGGGGGCAACCCUGAUCUAGCCAUGCCGCGUGUGUGAUGAAGGCCCUAGGGUCGUAAAGCACUUUCGCCAGAGAUGAUAAUGACAGUAUCUGGUAAAGAAACCCCGGCUAACUCCGUGCCAGCAGCCGCGGUAAUACGGAGGGGGUUAGCGUUGUUCGGAAUUACUGGGCGUAAAGCGCACGUAGGCGGAUUAGAAAGUCAGAGGUGAAAUCCCAGGGCUCAACCCUGGAACUGCCUUUUAAACUACUAGUCUAGAGUUCGAGAGAGGUGAGUGGAAUUCCAAGUGUAGAGGUGAAAUUCGUAGAUAUUUGGAGGAACACCAGUGGCGAAGGCGGCUCACUGGCUCGAUACUGACGCUGAGGUGCGAAAGUGUGGGGAGCAAACAGGAUUAGAUACCCUGGUAGUCCACACCGUAAACGAUGAAUGCCAGACGUCAGCAAGUAUACUUGUUGGUGUCACACCUAACGGAUUAAGCAUUCCGCCUGGGGAGUACGGUCGCAAGAUUAAAAC